rnacentral:rRNA from 1 species
UACGGAGGGGACUAGCGUUGUUCGGAAUUACUGGGCGUAAAGCGCACGUAGGCGGAUUUGUAAGUCAGGGGUGAAAUCCCGGGGCUCAACCUCGGAACUGCCUUUGAUACUGCAAAUCUCGAGUCCGGAAGAGGUGAGUGGAAUUCCUAGUGUAGAGGUGAAAUUCGUAGAUAUUAGGAAGAACACCAGUGGCGAAGGCGGCUCACUGGCCCAUAACUGACGCUGAGGCACGAAAGCGUGGGGAGCAAACAGG